CUAAGACGGACACAUUUUAUGAGUGAAUUUGACUUUGAGUGACAUACAGGUUUCUUUGAAAAAUACUUUCUUAUAUCCAGGUUCUUCCUUUUUGCUGCCGUCCUCCUCUCCUCCUUGCAGGUCCUCGCAGCGCAGGAUUGCCGCUGUUAAAACUAAACAGAGCUCCCUGAAAGGCUCAGUCAAUGACAUUGGACAUAUUUGUCACAUGACGUAGGAUUCCAGUAGCGAACGUAAUUUAACCCUUUCUGCACCGCUGGGUGACUGAGACGUUGACAGAUUGUUUUUUUCUUUCUAUCGGGUUUGUUUUUCUUUACUCGAAGAGAUCAAAUUACUGGUGGGGACAAUUCAAUAACCGCCCUUGCUUUGAAGUUUUCUCUCUUGUCCUCCAGGACUGCUUUCGUCCUCCAGGUUGCUCCACCUUCCUGUCAAAAAUCAGCUGAUUGCUCCUCUGUCCUCAGUCAGUCAUCACCAGCUUGUCGUAUCAGCCAGUUAGACUACCUGGAGUACCUGGACCUCCUCUCCUGGAAUCAAUCACAUCAGUGUGACUGCUUCUUCACAGAAUCACACUGUGAAAAGAGCUGUUCUUAGUUCUACUUUCUGAUCCUUUAUACAUGACCAACACGGCGUGACCAGAAAAAAAACGGCGGAUGACUGAAGCGGGCGGCCAAAGAGUAAACUUUCAAAACUUAUCACACAUUUGAGUUCCAUGUGUGACAACUGCAAGUGUCCAGAGUGAGGACAGACUGAGGGACCCACUGCUGCACAUCAUCUGUGAGGCUUUGCACCCCUGAUGAUCCACCAGGACAAACUCAGCAGUGUGUGAGGAAGAGGAGGAGGAAGAGCCAGCAGCAGCUGACAGAUGGAGAGAAUAGACAGACUGUUCCCUGUUUGUGAAGGACUGCUAGAAAAGUUUAACAUCACUAAUUGUCUGUCCUGAAUCAGUCUUAUUAGGAAAUGUUCAAAUAAUUUUAUCAUUCCAGUGUUUUCAGUACUCAGGCCCUUCAAGUUACACACUAUGAAAGGCAGCAACAAGUUUAAUAUUCAGAAACCUAAAGUAUGUAUCAGCAGCAGAACGGAGCUAAAAAUAAAUGUUUGUUUCAGUUCUAUGAAGCUUUGAGUAUUUUGGAUUAGUAGCACUGCUGUGUUUGUUGUAUCGUAUUGCUGUAAUUGUUUAUAUGCUUUAUGUAUUUUGAGGUAAGUUGAUCUAUAGUGUUACAUCAUAUUCCAUAAGGAUGUUAUGUGUUUGUAUACUUUCUGCCCAGUUUGACCCAUUUAGCAGAAGUCAGCCUGUUUAAGGCUCUGAUAUCUAUUCUGUAUGACUUAAAUCGUUGAAAACGAUGUUCCGGGAGUCCGCUGUUCUCGCCGGCUCUAAUAAUCCUCGACCUCGCUGUCUGCUAUGGAGCUGGCAGGUCACAGACGUCUCCGAAAAUGUCGGAGCGCGUUUGGAAAUAUAUGAUAUCUUGAUAAAUUGAGCAGAUAUUUGAAGUUUACACAGCUACAUUCUAGCUUGAAAAUAACUUAAAAGUUUAUUUUGUGACCCAGAAAGAGUAAUAUUUAAAAGUUUUUAGCCCCGCUCGUCCGCCAUUGCCGCGUUUGAGUUUUGGACGAAAUGCAUUCUGGGAUAUUUAGCUGUAUCAAGUCCACACAAGUCACCACUGAUGCAUGCUCGAUAAAACGGGCGGAGCGAGAACACAUCCGGGACUUUUUCGCGUUCUCGGCUUGAUGCAUACUUCGAAUUGGAACAGUACUUGGUCUCCGACUGAUGACGUAUCACGAGUACAUGAGAACGCAAGUACGCAUAUUGAGAAAGGCCCUUCCCAUUUAACAAGCCUCUCACUUCCGCACUUCUUGUACUUCCUAAUACGCGCCGUACGUAGUACGCCAACUGCGCGUACUCCGAAGCGUGCGGUUGCUGGAUUGGGACACAGCCUCAUGUCGUGUCCAAAUUCAUGGGCUGCAUCCUCUUGAGGACCCGGCCUUCGCGGUCUACGUGGGCCUAUUCUGACAAACCAUCCUACUUUGGCAAAACGUCCUACCGUAUGUUUAUGCACAUUUCUGCUGUCACAGAGUAAUUCCAGCACCAAUUUAAGUAGGUAUGACGGUUUGCCACUUAACUUUGCCCAUCAGAGUAUACUUGUAGCUCGUAUGCAUACAGCCAGGAUGGUUUGGCACUUAAUUUUACCCGUCAGAGUAUGUGUGUAGCUGUUAUUAACAAAGGUAGGAUGAUUUGCCACUGAAUUUUAGCUGUUAAAGUAUGCUUCUAGCUCAGAUUAACAAAAGUAGGACGAUUUGCCACUAAAUUUUAGCAGUUUAAGUAUGCUUGUAGGUGACAUUCACAAAGGUAGGAUGGUUUGGCAGUUAAUUUUACCAGUCAGAGUAUUUUUCUAGCUAAUAUUCACAAAGGUAGGACGGUUUGCCACUGAAUUUCGUGUUGUGCGCAGAAACAACGGGUAGGAUGGUUUGCUGGGUAGGAUGAUUUGCCAGGUAGGAUGGAUUCCCAGAACACCCCGGGUCCUCAGAAGGUCGGGUAAGCUUGAAGUAAACAGCUGUGAUAUUGGACGGUCUAGCCUUGCGAUUUCGUCACUGCUGUCUUGGUGGAGUUUAAUAAACUCUGUCGUCUGCUCCUUGCUAUCUAAAUUAUAACAGGACACUGGUGUAAAUUCUUGACCAUCUCACACUUCUGUUUAAUCAGUUUUCUGUUUGAUGAUUAUUCAGCUGUGUGAAAACCAUCCAGGAGAUUAAUAAUGUUUUAUUUGAUCUAAUCUAAUAUCUUUAAUCUCAGCCAAACCAAUUUACUCACAAACCAAUAAAACACUGAAAAAGCCAAACAAUAACAUUUCUAGGUUGUCUAAGUGACUAAUAUAUUACGUUUAACCUGAGUAGCGAAAGUCCGUGGUGAUCUGAAAAUGAUGCGCCGGGAGUUGUGCUGUUCUCGGCGGCUUCAGUGACCCUUGAGCUCCCAGCUAGCUAUCGAGCUGGUGGAUAACAGACGUCGGAGCACUUUUGCAAAUAUGUGAUAUCUUGAUAAACCGAGCAGAUAUUUGAAGUUAACACACCCACAUUCUCGCCUGAAAAUACGUUAAAAGUUUAUUUUGUGACCCAGAAAGAUUAAUAAGAGUAAUAUUAAAAACUUAGUAGCGGCUGCCAUUGUUGAAAACUGGAAUUGGCUGGGCCGCGCUUUGAAUUCUGGGAUAUGGUGGGCCACGAAGGACACACUCGACCCAUCCUUCAAAUUUGGGGAAAAGGAGGACGCAUUUGUCGGCUGCAUUUGGAGGAGUCUACGAAUUUGGACAGCCUUCGUUGCGUCGCUGUGACGUAAUCGGCCUACAAAUGCGGCCUCAGGAGGAUGCAGCCCAUGAAUUUGGACACGACCUCAUACUUCAACAUGGGUGUGCAUCUCACACAGUUGCACCAGUGGAACCAACAUGCAGUACAGUAGUUCCUACAUGAGAAUUUCCACAAUAAAUGACAUAAUGACAUAUAAAAUGUGCGUAGUGCAAAACAAAUGCAUUAACUAAAAGUAUGGCAGUAAAACUAUGUUUACGCAGGCAGCAGAGAUCGAUGAUGACACACGGGUGUAAAGGGUUGAAUUUGAAUGGUUUAUAUGAAUUCUAAGAGUGUAAUAUGAAAGCAGCUUUCUCACCUGUUUACUGUUAAACUGAAGGUAACACUGUUAUGUGCACACACCUGAACUGAGGUGUGCAAAUGUGAAAAGAUCCGGCUACAUCUGCAAGAAUAGUCCAAUAGUAUAUAACUUGUACUAGAAUAAGGAAGUAACAAGUCAGGUUUGUACAGGAAACAAUGAAAUUAUUAUACUGUAAGUUGUUUUAAGUACUGGCAUUUUCAUGGUGAUUUCAGGAAAAACAUCUAGUAUUUCCCUGUCUUACCGUAGCCUAUAAUUCCCGGGAUGUGUUAUGGAGUCACUUCAUCUGAGUAAACUCGUAGAACAGUACUUUGUUCUGCUUCUUCAGCGACAUCCACCUGUACAGACUACAACCACAGAUUAGUUUUCAGCACUCUGUAAUUCACUUUUCUUUCCUUUAGAGUUGAAAUCAAGGUGAGUUAUUUUGUCCUGUGACAGCUGGUGUUAAAUCCACCCUCAUGACUAUGAACUAAGCAGUCUUAGAUAAUCACCAUCAUCUUUAUCAUCUGCAGACCCAAAAUAUUCAGACUGCACAAAGAUGAAAUCAUCUGUUUUAUGUUUGGCUUUUACAAACCAGCCAUCACUACUGCACUUACUGGCCACUUCAUUACAUACAACUUGCUAGUAGUAGACUGGACCCUUUUUUUUUUCUUCUUUUUAAAAAAAAAUUCUUUGUAGAUUCAAGAAGGAAACACUCCUCAAAGAUUUGUCAUCGUAUUCACAUCACAACAUCUUCCCCGUUCUUACCGUCGGUUUGAUUCUCAGUGGGCUGUUUGUUCUGUCUACAUGCAUGAACAAACUGAGUUACUGCCGCAUGAUUGACUGAUUAGUUUUAUAUCAGUAUAGUUUCUCUUUCCUGAAAACCUCUCGCAUGUUUUUCUUCAGACUGAUAUUUAAAUUACUUUCUGUCAACACUUCCAGUAAAAUGUAAAACUUUUGAGCCUUUGUUUCCUUAAUCCCUGAUCUUUAAGUAUCUGUGGUUACGAGACAGUGAGAUGGCGCCAUAACUUCAUGAACAUACUUUUUUAAUGUACUGCCCAUGAUGUACCUCAGUGGUUAUAGUGGUCAGUAACAGGAUUGUGUUGUUCACACUGUCACACUUAUUAUCACACAUAAUAUCAUUAAAAUAUUACAUAUUUUAUAGUAUUUUUAAUGAUUUUCUUUUUGUGCAUCAAAUAGAGCAAGAGAAUAUUAACUCAUUUAAAUGUGUGAGUGACACUGGUGUGUGAUUGUGAUCUAGUAAAUAUAUAAAACAGAUCCAGCUUGUGUGCUACAUUUGUAAAUAAUAUUUGUGGUGUGCUGUUUUUUUUUAACUUAGUAAUACCUUAAAAACAGUGACCACAGUGAGCAGAUCAUGUGAUCAGUUUGGUCUGUGGGCUGCUCCUGUCUGUGCUGUGAUUGGUUAGCCUUGAAGAAGAGGAAGUUGAUUGAGUCUCUAAUAGCCUCAGAUCAUCAGACACAUAUGUUUAUAUAAGAAACAUCAGCCUAAUCAGACACAUGAAGGAUAUUCUCCUCCAUCUCUAACGUGCUGUGUGACUGAGCUCUAAUUUAAAAUCACAUGUUUGAACCCAACCCAGUGAUCUUUGCAUUAAGUCAACCAAACAGUCACUGACAAAAAUGUCUUUAACCCUUCCACGCACAGUGGUCACUACAGUGGAAAGCUAUCCAAAGGCUGUUUUCUUGUAUUUGUGUAGAGUUGAUAGUAUACUUGCACAUAAACCACUACAUUGGACACUCCAUACCCAACUUGUAAGUCAAAAUGUCUGUUGUCCACCUUAAGUGGACAUGUUAAAAAAAAAAACUCUUUGAAAAGUACAUGUUUAAAAAAUGAAGUUCAAAAAUCUUUUUUUCAUGCCUAGAUAUAAAUUAAAAUACUUAAGAAGAAAAUCCCGAUUGAGGUUGUCAUAACUCAUGUAUGAAAGGGUUAAGCUGGGACUCAUAAGAAGUUCCUCUUAUUAUGGAACUAUAUUACCCAGCAGCCCUUGUACAGUCAUGUGCUUAUCAGCUGAGUUGUCUGCUGUAAUUUAGGCUGUGACUGAUCACAUGAAUGUAAGUCUGACUCUAUCAUGAUUAACAUGCUUCUGUUUUCACACUGUGAUAUUUAUACUUCAUGUACAUGUUGACUCUGUGGGCUGGUUAAUGGAUGGUUUCUGAACCUCUGUUUGUUUGUUCCUUUGUGUGUUUAAGGCGGUUUUGAAGUUGUGUUGUGUACCUGUGGUGAGCAGAGGUAGUAUUAACUGUAUUCCUGCUGUACAGAGGCUGACUGGAGCUUUACUUUAUUACUUUUAUGAACAGAUCUGUCAAUAAAGGAAACACAGAUAUUUAUAUCAAACUGUGACAAAGAAAGUGGAUUAUGCAGAAGGACUGAGGGACGAGUGGGCAUGUGGAGUGUGAGGACGGAGAGCUUCAGUGAUGAUGUCUCGCUGAUGGAAGCUGGAGAAUUUAAAUUCUGCACCAACAGAGAGGAUAAACUCCAGGAUGCCUAACUGAGAGGACAUGUGAUGGGAGAAAAAAUUCCUGACAGAGGCAGAUGAACAGGCGCUCUGCAGGUGGGAUUGAGCGCCUGUAGUUGGUGUCUAGGUGGGCGAUGCUUGGACCGACACGGGACAGCAGCUCCUCAAACUGGGCAAGGGAAAGACGGUGGUACCGCUGAAAGUGGCCGGCAUCCAGACGCAGCUCCUGGAGCAAAUGGUGAAACUCACCAAACUGCUCACGCUUCUGGAGGAACUGAUGGACCCAGGUACGGCGAGGACGUCCUUUACGCUGCUGCUCUGCUCUCUACAGUAAAUAGAAAAAAGGGAGACUCUCUCUUCAAACGCUAGAUCGACAGCUGCCAUUUCGCAAACAUACCAUCUGGCACUACUUCCUCCCACAUUUCCGCUUCACGCGUGUGAAAAUUGCAUAUUUUGAAGCGCAACCAAUUUGCGUUGGUUGCGUGUUGAGGUGCGAAUGUGCACGCAACCAGCUAGGGGUGUCUGGCGCUUUUUUGGUCGCGUCUAUCGCGUUAGCGAUCCCUUAUGUUUCAGGAGUAUUGGAAUAGACGCAUUUUCUCUAAACACCACAUCUCUGCGGCUUUUGAA
ensembl:lncRNA